CUCUAUUCUUUUUUUUUUUUUUUUUGAGACGGAGUUUCGCUCUUGUUACCCAGGCUGGAGUGCAAUGGUGAGAUCUCGGCUCACCGCAACCUCCGCCUCCUGGGUUCGGGCAAUUCUCCUGCCUCAGCCUCCUGAGUAGCUGGGAUUACAGGCACACGCCACCAUGGCCAGCUAAUUUUUUGUAUUUUUAGUAGAGACAGGGUUCCACCACGUUGACCAGGAUGGUCUUGAUUUCUUGACCUCGUGAUCCACCCACCUCGGCCUCCCAAAGUGCUGGGAUUACAAGCGUGAGCCACCGCGCCCGGCCCGAGUGUCUCUGUGCGUAAAAGUUUGUCUGAGACAGGAAGGAGAGCAAGUGCUGAGCUCACGUUUUGUAACUACACCGUUUUCUAAGAAUUUAAAAGAACAUUUGUUGCUCCCCUUCCCCCUCAAAAUAAGGCAUGUUCCUUGUAGGAAAGGUAGAAAAAUACGUGUAAGAAGAAGAAAAAAAACUGCCGUAACUCCCUCCAUUAGAAACAUACCCUGUUGAACCUGGAAUUUCCUUCCAGACUUCUGGCUUUGUGUUUUAGUAGAAAUGGUCUAACUCAUUACUUGCAACAUAUGAUUCACUUAACAGUUCAUGAAUAUCUUUCUCUUGUGUAUGCUACUCUUCUUCCAAAACAGCCUUUCAACUUUUAUUGACCUAUCUGGGAUCUCCUGUCUGGGAUUCAAAUGGUUCAAAAAUCUGACAGGUGCAAAGGUGCAUUCAGGGGAAGGUUGCCCCUUUUGUUUUCUGCCUGGGAGCCCACUCAGUUCCGCCCCCUGGAGGCAACGGAUGCUCCUUCACAAGCAGCAAAUUUAGUAGUUGGAUCAUAUUCUGUUGCAUAAAUGUCUCAAUAUUUAUUUAGUUUUUAAGACACAGUCUCCCUCUCCAAUAUUUAUUAAAAUAGCUUUCCAUCUUGAAUAUUUGGAUGUUACUGUUUUAUUUUGCUCUUAUACAUAAGGCUAUGAUGAAUGGCCUUCUAGCUAGGUCUUUGUACACAUACUUCAUUUUGUUAGAAUACAUUUUUAGAAGCAGAAUUUCUGGGUCAGAAGGUAGGACAAAUUAAAAAAAAAUCCAAUCUCAGAUUUUUACCUCCAAAAAAAUCUGUAUUGAUUGGCAUUCCCCCAGCAAUGCACGAGAAUGUCUGUAUCCCCACCUGUGUUAUUAAAACUCACUUCCUCAAACGGUGCCAACUUAGUGGGUAAAAGUGCAUGUGAGGCCCCUGACGCUGACUGUGAACUGCACUUUUAAAGGGUGCAAGUAGCACCUUGGGGGAAAAAUAGGAGACUAGGUGGUGGCUCCAGGGACAGCAGCUCUGAGUCCCUGGGGAGGGCUGACCUGUGAGAGCAGCAGAGGGCAAUCUAGUGUGGCUUGAGGUGGCAGCAUCACCAGUGGCCCAAGCCUGGGGACAGAAUUCUUCACUUUUCAGAAACCCCCAGGUAGAAGCGGGAGGAUCCCAGGCCAUGAGAAGCAUGAAGGCCACAAAAUAAUCACAGCCUGAGGUCCAGGGACAAUUGGUUCGCAGGCAGGAUUUUUGAUUUUCCCCCUGAAAGAGACUGUGAUGUUCUUUUUCUGGCAAGUUAAUGGUGUACUAAAAGGGGUCCUUGGAAUAGGGUUGGGGGUGCUGGUGGUGAACACUCUUGGGUGAUGGAAAUGCCCCUCUCUCUAGAGUGUGCCCUGUGCACAGGUUUGGGGUACAGCCGGUGUCCUUGUGUCCUCUGGUGCUGGGCUCUGCGGUUCCUGCUUGGGGAAGGGAGAAUAAAGACUGCUUUCAUGUACCCAGCUGAGAGUGGGGCAAGGGACAGCAAGGGCUCCCUUAUUCAUGAACCCCCAGAUCUCAGAAAGUUUGCACUGAAGGGUGAACCCGGACAUUGAGAAGAGCUGGAUAUUCCCUCGACAUUCACCUACCCUUCAGGUUUCUCUAAACAAUCCCUGCUUUUACCACGUCUGCGUCAAGGGGCAACUCCAUCCACCUCUAAGAAAAGAAAAGAAAAAAAAGCAUUUAACACAAAGCAAAACAUGAAAGGAUUUUUUGAUGGAAGCUGCAUAAAAAUGGGACUGCGUUGAAAUAAGCAUCUAUGAGAGCUGACGUCUGCCCUGGCAGUGUCUGGUAACCUAGAAUUUCCAGAACUGCAUUAAGAGCGUGGACAGAGAAAUCUGCACAACUCUUACCCCUGGACAUGACGAGUUAUCCUCAUUAGUGGUUUGCAGAAAGAUGUGGGGAAGAAUGCUGUGUGCCAGCACCAGGAGCUGCUUGACAAUCCAGUCAAUGGGCGUCCAUCCUCGGCCCGCGCUGUCAAUUCAAGUGGUUCUGGAAUUCCAGGGCACACCACGAACCAAACCCUAACUAAAUCUCCAGGUAGACCAAGGAUCCCGAGAUGUGAGCGAUUUUGAUGUUCAUGGCUGUGGCAAAUAAAAAAAAAGUGAUAACAGGCUUCCAUUUGCUGAAGACAGCAUUUAACCACACCCUCCCUAACCCAAACCUCCCACCUCUUCCUACGAAAAAUAUCGCUAAGGAGGCUGAGAAGCUGUCAAGCACCCUCUGGGCUUUGCCUCCCCCGUAGGGCUGCUAGUGACAGAGGCAUUCGCCAAGACGACAGGUCAUUGAAUAUUUAUUGGUUCCCCUGCACUGGGAGGAGCCGCUGCAGAGUGGAAAGACCCAUGAGACAGGUUUCUGCCCGCGAGGAGUUUUCAGCAACGAGGCAAACCCAGGAUACAAAUAUUGUUAAAUAAGCAGAGAGCAUGCCAGGGACCCUAGAAGAGAAAAGACAGGGCUGUGGGCAGAGACCAGUGAUGACUGAGAAGGCACCCGUGGGCCUUCCUUAACGGGGGUGGCUUGGAAGGGAGGAGAUCUGAAGGCAGGGCAGUGACAGGUGGUGGGCACAGAAAAACUGAGCACACUGGGAUAGGAUGAGUAGGGUAGGUUUGGUACAAAGGAAAGAUGCAAUGAGGCUGAAGCAAGAGCGAGAGUGGCCAGUAAAAGAAGGAAGACAGGGAAGGGAGGGAGGAGCUCCCUGCCCCAGCCAGCCCUGCCUGAGCAUUCUUCUGGCUUUGCUCAGCUUAUCCGAGCCCUGUAUUCUAGUGUUACAAAGCAUAUGGGCAGAUGGGCAUUCUCCUGUACUAUCUGUGGAUGUGAAAAUCAUCUUACCAUUUUUUCUGCAUAGUUUGGCCCUGUGAUCUCACAAUCCCACAUCAAGGAAUUCCCCUUAGUGGAUAAGCACCCAGAUGUAUAUAGCAAAAGAAGGUUAUAGAGAAAGCUGGGUUUUGUAGAAUAAUUUUAUUUUAUUUAUUUGUUUUUGAGGCAGAAUCUCGCUCUGUCACCCAAGCUGAAGUGCAGUGGUGUGAACAUGGCUCAUUGCAGCCUCCACCUCCCUGAAUCAAACAAUCCUUCUCCCUCAGCCUCCCAUUGGAGCUGGUACCACAGGCGCACACCACAAUGCCCAUACUGAUGUGGCAUUCCAGCUAUUUGGCAAACCAAGCUGCACCCCGGAGCUGAUAGUUACCAAGGUGCUUUGCCCAUAAUUGCCGCCCAAUAAAGAGUUGACUGGUUGAUCACUUAUUUACAUGCUGUGUAUUUUUUAACUUUCUUCAAGCAUCAAGCAGAUUUAUAGCAGACCCAACGCCACAGUAGGUCAGCAUUAGGGGCUAAUCAAUUUUAGUAUUUGUGCAGUGCUGUUCUCUUAACAAAGCAUACUCACUCUCAUCUAAUUCCUUAUUCCACACAUGACAACUCUGGAGACCAUUAAUCAGGGCUCAACAAACUUGGUUUGUAAAGGUCCAGAUUGUAAAUACUUAAGGCUUGAGGCCCAAAUGUUCUCUGUCUCAACAACUCAGCUCUACCACUGUCAUGUGAAAGCAGCCUUAGACAAUAGGUAAAUGAAUAGCUGUGACUGUUCCAAUAAAACUUUAUUUAAAAAAACGUAUUGAGCUAGAUUUGACCGUGAGCCAGUGUGCCAGUCCCUGAGUACUGAAAAGCCAACAUUGCCCAUUAAGAAUCCAAUGCCCAGUGACGUUAUAUCUUGCUUAAGUCCGCCUGCACUAUAAAUCAUCUUAAAGGACUUUUUUUUCUUUUGUACUUCUAGUUUUAGAUUCAACUGUAAUAGUUUAUUAUAAUCAAUGUUUGGUAACCACAAUGACUCCAACCUCACUCUGUCAAGAUCUAGAUGGUUCCUUACCAAAGUCCUUUCCCAUUGUGCUGGUAGAAGUGAUUCAUUCAAGAAAUUAACUAAAGAGGGAGCAGCAUGGCUCAGAGUCCCGAAGCCAAAUGCUGUUGUUAAGAACUGUGAAUGGUGCCCGGUCUGCCUACGGAGCUUCACAUGUGCCUGUGCUGUACCUGUUGGACACACUCCUCACACAACCCUGCUAGACGGUCACUUGCUCUCCUUUCAUUUUAAAGAUGAGCAAACCCAGGCCCAGAGCAGUUAAAAGAGCUCCUCAAGGUCACCCACAAGGUUAUGUGCAGUUGCACAGGGCCCCAUUUUCCAAAGGGGACCCUUCAUGAUUGUGUUAAUGUGCUGCUAUUGCCACUUUGAAUUCUUAAUAAAUUUUGAACUGGGCUCUGUAUUUCCGCUGGGUUCUGCAGAUUAUAUUGUUUCCUGGCUACACAGCCAAGAGUGGAGCUGGGAUUCCAACCCAACUCCAUCAAGCCCUUCUUAAUUCUGUGUGUUCUCACCAUUGACCCCCAAGUGAUUGCACUGAGGGGAGAUUUUGUUAUCAUGAGCUCAGCUUCACUUGGGUGAUAUAUAUGCAGGGGCUAAACGGAAAUGUGUUCAAGGAACCAAAUCUGUUUGACUCAUGUAAAACAUACAGAACUCAACACAAAUGCUUUUUAAUAUGUGAUCCCAAAGGUCACAGAAAGUAGUUUACAUUUGUGUGGUGUGCUUUCAUUACGUGACAUAAUCCCUCUCAUUUCCCUGUAAGUGGAUAUUACUAUCUCAAGUUUCAGGUGAAGAAACUGAGGCCCAGAAAAAGUUAAAUAACUUGCAAAUGGGAGACAGCCAAUCCAGCUGCAUAUCCAAUUUUUCUCUCUUGAAAUCAAAAGGAUCCCUUUUCCAGGGUUCACCUCAAUAUCCAGGUUUAUAAAUGAUUCCUGGAAUGGGAUAUAACUAUUUCCAGGUAUGCAGACUCACACUAAUGUCUGCCAACAAAUUAAAGAAAAGAAAGCCGGGCGCAGUGGCUCAUGCCUAUAAUCCCAGCACUUUGGGAGGCUGAGGUGGGUGGAUCAUGAGAUCAAGAGAUCGAGACCAUCCUGGUCAACAUGAUGAAACCACGUCUCUACUAAAAAUAUAAAAAUUAGCAGGGCAUGGUGGCGCAGCCUGUAGUCCCAGCUACCUGGGAGGCUGAGGCAGGAGAAUUGCUUGAACCCAGGAGGAAGAGGUUGUGGCGAACCGAGAUCGCGCCAUUGCACUCCAGCCUGGGUAACGAGCGAAACUCCGUCUCCAAAAAAAGAAAGAAAAGAGAAAAGUGUGCCAUUUCCUUCCAAAAAGGAGCCCUGCCUUGCACUUCAUCUGUUAGAGUAGAUGAUGUGGUGUUUUGUCUGUUGGGUGUCUCUAACAGACACCCUAGAAAGACAACUAGGAAAGCUGUGUGUGUACUCCAAAGGAGAUGUUAAGUGGGGACCCCAUCAAACUUAAGCAGAAGCAGGCAUUUUUCCUGGAAAAUACUCAGUCUGAUGUGGCUGUACAUUAGGUUUGGCAGUGCUGCCUCAGCAACAGCACAAAGAAAAGCCUGCCACCUCCAGAUUCAUGGCAUGGAUUUGCAGUCCAUCAAUCACGGGAAAAAUUAUUUCGAUAAAGCCUUCUCCGGAAGUUGAAGCAAGGCCAUGUGCACUUGAGGAGUCUAUAAUCUGGAAACCACAACUAGCCAACUUGCGAAGAGUAAAUUCUAGGUGUUCAAUAUGACAGCUGCGUUCUCUCUGGGGUACUGAGGCAUUCUGGUGAAUUCACCGAGAAUGUUGGGACUGCACUGACCACCGCAGGGGAGUCCCGGCUCUACCACUUACUCGAUGUAAGUUACCUUUUAUUGUGGUGCUUCAAUUUCUUCAGCCAAAAUGAUGCUGAUCAUAACAAUCUCAUACAUUUGCUGGAGGAAAAAAAGCAGACAAUAGUAAUAUUUGAAAGCAAAGCAUAAACAUUAGUGAAAAAAACCCAGAGAGUAAACUGUAAUAAAAUAACAUAAACGUUGGUCUUGCGUUUGCAUUUUCAGACCCUGAAGGUGAUCGCAUUAAGACUGCAGGAUUACCUGCAAAAAAAAAAUACUGUGGAAUUAAGGAACUCAGGGUCCCUGCAGGAAAGCGCUGGCAUAGUCCAGAAGAGGCAACUGAAGAGAGUUUAAUAAAGGGCCUAUUUACAAGGGUGUGAGUAGGUUAUGGAGACCAAAGGAAGGGUAAUGCCUUUGGGUUUUCAUCUGCCUGGAAGGUGGAACCUGAGAGAGCUACUGCUAUAGGAGGGGACCUUAGACAGCACAGCCGGUACCAGAUUGUGGGUUGGGAAGGAUGGGGACGCUUGUCCUCACCUCAUUCUCCUCUCAUCAUCUCCCAGGGGCUGAACCCAAAUGGAAGCCAAAGGGCAAGGGAAGCCUUGGGUGCAGUUUCUAAGAGUCUGAUUGUGGGGCAGAAAGCCAGGUGGAGAAGCGGGGAGAGUUGACUUGAAGAAGCACAUAGAGAAUAUCUGGUGCAAGCGAUGUUAAGAAGCAGUGACUCCCGAGUCUGGCUGAUUUUUCAACUUCACUGGAGAUCAAUACACAUACUAUAUGUACAUAUACAUAUCCAUGCAGCCUUGGCCUUAGAUAGGAUAAUUUUGAGAGCGGGCCUGAGGCUCCCCAGGUGAUCCUGAUGAUUGUACAGAUGUGGAAACCACGGAAAGAUGUUCACCGAGAGCGCUUCCAACCCUGGCAUGUGAUAGAUGAGCCACAACACAUGUGCUGCACGAAUGUGAUCCCUUGAAGUGCCUGCCCGACUGCCUCCCACCCAGUUCAAAACAACCGAUGCUGAUUGCACAGCUGCAACACACAAAGCACUGUAAUUAGUUUUUCUACAUGGAAUUUGCUCUCCAACCCCUGCAAACGUAUGUGAGACAGGGUCCACAGUACUCAAGUUUUCUUCAUUUAGUGAGAAUAAAAGAUUUUGGAAGAGUAAAAGAUUUUUAUGAAACUUCAAAGCAAUAAUAGGGAAAAUGGUGUAAGCGAUUAAUUUGUGAGUGCAAACUAGGACCGAUUUCACUGCUGGAGAGGGAUAAGAGGAAAACUCAUUCACAGCAGCUGGCAGAAGAGGUGACUCCUUAGUAUCCCCAUUUCACAGAUCGGCAUGCUGAGGCCCAGGAGGGGCUGCAUCACAGCUUUCAUGGGCCCUCCUCUGUAAAAAUAUAUUAAAGAUUGUAUUUUGCCAUUACAUUGGUAUAAAGACAGAUAUAAUCCAGACUGAAUUAUAUUCACUUAUUUUCUUUUGAUUAAAAAAAUGUAAAGCACUUAUGUGGGCUGCUAAAAUAUCAUGGGCCUUAAGCACCGUGCCUCCUGUGCCGAAUGGAGAAGUCAGCCCUGAGCGUUGGAUGAUGCACCCUCCCCCCCCCCCACACACACAAAGCUGAGAAACAAAUUUCUCAUCAGCUGUCAGGCUCUACAGCCUGGCUGCACCUUAGGAAAAGCUGGGUUGCUCCCUCAAAUCCCCACUCUCGGCUGUUACCCAGACUGGUUAAGUCAGAAUCUCUGAGUAUGGGAACAAGGGACCAGACAUCUGAGGUGAUCCCAAUGGGUAGACAAAGUUGACAGCCGUGCUUGAAAGUCCUCUGUCCCAUGCUGCUGCCUUCUUAAGGGAGCAAAGAAGAGACUUACCAUAUCCACCAGCUGAUACCUCCUGUGACUAGGGCAAGGAUGCAUAUUUUAUAUCAAUGCAUACACCUCCAUAAUCUGCCCCUGCUGUUCUCUCCAGCCUUUUCUUCCCUUCUCAGGCUCUCACCACAGGGCUCCUCCCUGUCCUGGAAGAGAUUGCGUGUGUUCCUGCGUUCGCUCACAUGGUUUCCUGAUGUGUAAUUCUCCUCUUCCCCUACCUGGACUCAAGUGCAGCCAUACCACAGCAGCAGGCCUUCUGCACCUUCUCCAGGUGAUGGAUGCCUCUGAACCCACGUGGUCUGCCUGCUCUCAGAGCCAGGCUCAGGGAGUGCCAGCUGGCAGCAGUGCCCUGGGCUUUCCAGGAGGUUGGGCAGUGGCUCAGGGAGGCAGCCCUGGAAUCUGCUUUAGGACUGGGCUUCCUUUAGGCACUAUCCCAACCAGCCAACCCCCCCACACCCCGAAAAAGAGGAGGACUCCACUGGGCUGAUCUAUCCCCUUGGUCACUUUCAUAUUCACUUUGGUAUUAUAUUCUUUUGGGUCACUUCAGAUUCAUUUCACCUGAAUUCAGAUACUUGGAGAAGGGAAAGAGCCAAGAAGUAAAAGAACAUUGGCCUAUAUUUUAAAAAAGAGCACAUAGGUCAGGCGCUGUGGCUCACGCCUGUAAUUCCAACACUUUGGGAGGCCAAGGCGGGCAGAUCACCUGAGGUUAGGAGUUCAAGACCAGCCUGGCUGACAUGGUGAAACCCCAUCUCUACUAAAAACUACAAAAAUUAGUUGGCUACGGUGGCGGGUGCCGCCUCUAAUCCCAGCUACUUGGGAGGCUGAGGCAGGAAAAUUGCUUGAACCUGAGAGACAGAGGUUGCAGUGAGUCAAGAUCAUGCUACUGCACUCCAGCCUGGGCAACAGAGGAAAACUCUGUCUCAUAAAUAAAUAAAUAGCAUAUAAAAUCAGAAUGAUGAGUCUUCCUCCAGGAAGAUCAGCUUUUAAUGAAAGAAAAUCUACAGAGCACAUCACUUGAACUUAGCAGUAUUUGUUUAUUAAUUUACUGUGUCAUAAAUCUCUUUUGUGUGUUAACAAGCAUACGGAAAUAAAGAGCCUUAGCUAUCAACUGAUCAGCUAAGCUGAUGGCCCAAUUAAUAUUACAUUUUACUAUGUUCUAUACUCAAUUGUAAGGACAGUUCUUCUCUUGUGUUUUCCUGCCAUUCAAGUGAGUAAAUAAGGACUCUCUUGUCAUUCAAAUAAAAUCCAAAGAAUAUUCCCUUGGCUUACAGAGCCAUGCAUGAGCUGUUUUCCUGCUAUGGCUGCAACUUAACGCCUUCCUCUCUUCCUCUUCGCACGUGGCUCCAGUCUCCUGACCUCCUGGCUCUUCCAUGCCAAGCAGGCUCCCCCCACAGGACCUUUGCUCUCCUGGUUCCUUUUGUCUAGCAGGUUCUUCCCCAGCCGUGUCCACAGGGCUCACUUCCUCCCUUCAGUUAGAGUCUCUGCUCACAUCUCACCUUCUCAGAGAGGGCUCCUCUGACCACCCCACAUAAAGUGGCACCCUGCCUCCUCCACCACACACCUCUUCAUCUACGUGAUCGGUUUUUCUUCACAGCCCUCUUAGUGUGUUGAAAGGUGUUCUUCCCAUCUCAGCUUUAACUGAGAUGAGCACAAUGGCCAUCACUAGAGUGAACAUGAAACCCAUCCCCACCAUCCCACACCAUAGGCAGAAUUUUAGAAGAACGUAUGGGAAAAUAGCUCCAUGACUCAGCCAUAGCAAGAAUAUAUAAAAGUGUGAGAGAGGGUUUUGAGUGAAGACUUAUCUUCCCUGUAUGGGACAGAUGUGUAACUAUACUGUGAAUCUUCCAACCUUCUGAUCUCCAGCCUUAGUGACGGAGGAAUCCUUGCACUUCAUGCAGCCUAGAAGUGUCUGUCUCCUGCCUGGGAAAUCUCAGGUAGCCCCAGGCAGCAGGAUACAGGCAUCUGCUCUGGGAUGACAUUGCACCCCAGGGGCUAUCCGAACAAUGAUGCGUGAUUAUGUGCUGUGAAGGUGUGGAUGAAGGUGGUGCAAAAAGCAGCAGCCGUUGGAAGUCCUGCCCGGGAGCGAUGAGUGCCUGAGAAGCCAGGGCUGAGAGAGGCAGCUGAGGAUCUCAGACUCAGCUGAACCAUCCUUCCACCCGGCCCAAGAGGUAUGACCUGGUGGCCAACUCUCACCUGAACCUGAAGUUAGGAGCUAGGGGAAGCUCCAUGAGCAAAGAGGAGAGUUCUGUCUCACCCCCGCAUUGCAACUGGCCAGCACAAUGUCAGCUCCAGCUGAGAGGGGCUGGAGAAGGCUUGGUUUGGAUUCAAGUUCAUUUUGGUUCCUACAAAAAAAGGAGACAUUCUAGCUACAAAACGGAGAUUCUAUUUGUGAUCACAAAGGAUCACAAGAGUUGAUUUUGUUCGUUGUUCAUUUGCUUGAUUUCACCUGGGAAUGAGUAGAAAAAUCUUCAGCCUGCUGGAAUGUUCAUCGAAGUGCAGGGAAAGAACCACUCGUCUCUGAAUAUUUGUGUUUUUCUUGAAUAUAUUUAAAAGAAAGAGAGAGAAUAUUAAUAGAAGGUGGUGCUUGUUUAAGAUAGAAGCACCGGUCACUUUGUAUACACCUGCUUAUUUGUUUACUGUCUGUAGACAGUAUUUCCAGAAGUAUUCAGCCCCGAGAGAAAAGCGAUUUGUCCAUUUGGUUCACUGCUAUUUCUCUCUAUUUCCUGCAACAGAAGUGCCCAGCAAAGGGUACAAGUUCAAUCAACCUUUUCUGAAUGAAUGAAUGAAUGAAAUGAGUUUACUGCUGGACUUACCUUUGCUGGUCUGAAAUGCAUACUUUUAUAAAUGUAUGGAAGUCAAGGUUUGCGAAACACGUUAAAUAAAUAACUGCAGAUGAUAAUGGCAGUUCAAUCUAUAAAUAUUUACUGAACACUCAUUAGGAGCCAAGGGCUGUGAAGGACAAAAAGAGUUUAAGUCUCCUCCAGCAAGGGAGAAAAACAUGUACACUCAAGGUUAUUUGGAGCUUUCUAUAACCUUCCAUCAAGCAGGAAGUCCUGUGCAUUUAACUACUGUGUUGGCUGUCUUAGGUUUUGUACUGCGACCUUAGAUGAGACAAAACACACACAUGCACACACACACACACACAGAGAGAGAGAGAGGAAAAAGAGAGACAGGAGGAAAGAAAGAGGGGAGAAAAUAGAAACACCAAAGCAACGUUGACCUUGCUUUGUAACCACAUUCAUAUAUGCAUUGCAGCAAUGACAGUAAAAUGUACGCAGAGAGGCUGCAGCCGGUCAGUGUGUUCUUGGCAUAAAGCGAUGUAUCCUAAGCUCUUUCUCAGCGAUGCCAGGUGCAGUAGCUUAACAAAGCUUCUCCCAAGACUUUUCCUUUUUUUUUUUCCCUUAAGCAUCCAAUGUAUUCUGAGUCCCUGGAGUCAUCACUAAAAAUACAUGCUAUAUAUUCCUUUCUGACUUGUGAAGUUAUUUACACAGAGCAUCUUCCAAGGUAAACAAUUUAAAUCAUGUGUAGUAACGCACUUGAUGAAUUAUCUUUCUAAAGGCUACAGAAUCUGCAAAUAAUUUGAACUUUUCUCUAUUGAGAAAUAAUUCUCUGAUUGGGCCAAAAUGUUAGGAGAUUUAUUUUAGAAGUUAAGCUGGAUUCAUGUAAGUAAACGCAGUAAUUCACACAAGUAAUUCGUGUAAGUAAAUACAGCCACCGGAAUUGUGUAGAAGAGUAUCGAACAAUAGGGAACAGUGUCCAUGGGGUGCUGUUGAGAGAGCAAAAGCUUUGGUGUGAUCCAGAACAGUGUUUUCAUACUUUAUUGACAGUGCUCCGUACUCAGAAAGGUAUUAGUGACACGUGCACAGCCCCCAGCCCUGCCCCCUGACACACACCUGAGAUAGAGUUUCACGAUACCAAGACUCUCUUUUCUUAUUUCAUUUUUUUCAUUUAAUAGGAGUUUUAUGAAACCUCUAUUCUCGUCUCUCAUCUGUUCCUUUUUAACGCUGGUCACCGCAUCCGAAUCAAUCUCGUGGCAUGCUAAUGUGGGUCACGACCUGUAAGUUGAAAGGCACUGACAGAGAAGAUGAACAGCAACCACCCUACCGAGUGAGUGCUACACCACAUCAAUUCACAUGAAUUAAAACAGCUAACUUGGCCACAACCCUAUCAUGCAGUGAUGACUUUUAGUCCAUUUUAUACAUGAGGUAAGCAUGGCAGAGAAAGGUAAAAUCACUAAUACAAAUUGUUGAAACUGGAAAGUCAGAUGGCAAAACCCUUCGCCAUUCUUGUCUCUCCAGGUAUAUUGCUUGUAAUAUUACAUUUGAUCAGUCCUUAACACGUAUGGAAGAACAAAGUCUGGAGAUCCGCACCAGAGUGGAGCCAGGGGUUGUCUCCAAGGAAUAUAUGUAUUUCCACUCUUUUAAAAUUAAAAUGAUACUUUGGCAAUAAAAUAGUUUAUGGAAUUUACCUGAUCAAUGUUUUUAUUGAUCUAUUUCUGAAUUUGGUAACGAUGUUGUUGGAAGAAUUCAUCUUGUUAAACAUAUUUUUAUUCUUCUAAAUGUUUCUAAAUAUCCUCUUGAGAGUCUCUAAGCAAUUUAGUUAUUGAGAGAGGUUUUAUAAAAUGAUUUCCAUGAUCAUUGACGGCUCCUCCGACUUCCGAGGGUUGUUAAUCAGUAGAAAUCAAGUGUCAAGGUCAGAGCUCUUGUUCAUUAAUUGAGGGGAAUUCACACAUGUUGUUUGUAGAAUAUUAUGUAUGUAUGUCAUUAUGAAAAUUAUGAGGACCCUUCUGCUACCUCUGAGGCUGAUUUUGUCCUUGCCAGUUUCACUAGGAAGUUCUGGUGUAGACAGGGGUUAGGAAAACAAAUUUCAUGUAAAAGCAUCGUCCUUCGUGUUGCAGCUUAGGUAUGCUUCUCCAGUGAGAUCUUCCUCCGAGAAAAUGCCAGAGUCUACUAUUGCACAUCCCACAGGGCUGCACAUUUCCCCUUUUAGGUAAUCAUCACACUCAAAAUAGUUGGUUUAAAAGCCGCCUUCACGGCUUUCUGAGGGCAGAACUGUGUCCCUCUGGCUCCCACCUCUGGUCCCAGCCCUUUCUCAUUAUCUAGUGAGUCGUAGUGACUCAGUAACUCCUUAUCAAAUGAAUGAAUAUGUGUAUAAUGAAUGUUUCUACAGAUGAACGAAUAAAUAAAUGAAACAUGAGAAACACAUAUUUUAAAUUCCCCUUAUUUUCAGGGAAAGUACAUUGAAGACCAUGCUUUCAACUGAAUGCUGCAGGAUUAAUAGAGGCUUUCAAAUUUGCCCUCCAAGGACCACAGCAGUGGUUUCCAAUUUACUCAAGCUUGAGUAAGGAAGACCAUUUGUAACAUCAAAACUGUACAUACGUCUUGACCUGAUAGAAAAUAACUUCCACCAUCUAUGAACAAGAAGCCCUCAUAAGCAUAGGUGUUCUCACACACAGUGACUUCCCAGUCCCCAGGGGUUCGUAACCACAGCAUGAACUCAAGAAGACUCAACAAUCUAACUUCCAUUCACCGGUUGAACUUCAUCCAAAUGCAAUCAAUACCUUUUCUCAACAACUUUCUUCCUGAAUUAGAGAAGAGUAACUUUAAAAAGCUUCAACCUUUUUGCCUUUAUGAUUGAUAUUGGUACAGGUGUAAGUAAUUCCACACAAGACGUGGUUACUAGUAAGUGGUGCUCAUCCAUUUUUGGAAAAUGUAACAUAGAAAAUAAUUGCAGCAUUUUGAGAAAGCAUUAAAUUAGAUGUCAGAUAUGGAAUAUUGGGGGAAAAGGGUCAAUUUAAAGAAGUCCUUUAAGGCCGGGCACAGUGGCUUAAGCCUGUAAUCCCAGCACUUUGGAAGGCCAAGGCUGGCAGAUUGCUUGAGCACAGGAGUUAGAUACCAGCCUGGGCAAUAUGGCAAAACCCUGUCUCUACAAAAAAUAUAAAAAUUAGCCAGGCAUGGUAGCACACACCUGUGGCCCCGGUUACUCGGAAGGCUGAGGUGGGAGGAUCACUUGAGCCCAGGAGGUGAAAAUUGCAGUAAGCCCAGUUCACACCCCUACACUCAUGUCUGGGGAACAGGAUCCUGUCUCAAAUAAAAAAAUCCUAUAAAAUAAUGUUUCAACUCUCAUAUGCUACUUCAAGAUUGCACAUCAGAUUUGCAUGUGUCUAAAUAAGACGGUUGGUGUACUGCACAUUUUAACAGAGAACAAAAUUAUGCUAACAUCUUUCUAUUAAAAUUAUAAAAAUCAAUAUUAUCAAAAUUAAAUCUAAUUUUUAGAAGAUCAGAUAUGUUACUGACAUAUGGUUGUCCCACUCAUGUUUAAGAGCUUCCUUAUUAACUUUUAAACUAAUAUAUUGGCUUCUGUGGCUAGAUGUUUUGUUUCACAAUGGCUAAAAGUAAAAUGCCAUCAAUUCCUAAAGUAAAAUAUUUUGAGCUUUAAGAGGAAACACAUAUGAUAAUUCUGUGUUUUGUUUGUAAUAAUGAAAAUGUAAGCUUAAAGAUGGUGAAAAUGUACCUAGAAUUUGUGGUGCCCUGGAAGCUGACUCACACCAGCUUGUGGGAGCGGACCGGACACACAUCUUCCUGGUGACGUCACGUUGGUAGACUUUAAUAACCAUAUUUGGAGCAUUUAUACCAUGGAUAUCGGCAAAUUCUAUAAAUGAAGACACCUUUUUUUUGGAGAGCUGGUUAAUAUACAUUUGCUCACACAGCAGUAAGUACAAUAGAAAGAUCUGUGACCAUGGUUGAGUUUUGCAGGAUAGAGUAUCAUUUCCCAUGUUCUUGGCAACAAGUCUCAGUUUAUGGUCUUAUCUCAAGAAAGGUACUCAUGGAAGCACCAGACACUAGAGGCUCCACAGCUAAGUGAGCUCCUCUGAUCAAAUAUAUUGUAAGUCAUGCUUCCUGCCUGAGUCAUGCUUAUCUCAUAAGUGAAAAGACAGAUUGCCAUGUCUCUUUUAACGAAUGUAAUUCUUUUGGCAAAGCUUUUAAAAAGUAAGUCUUUAGAAAAUUAUCAUUUAUAGAUAUUUUGACAUGAAAGUUAAAAAUGCAAUGAUAUAUUUUCAAACCUUUCAAGUGUCUUUGAACUCUGGCAAAGUGAUCUGGUAAUACAGCUGGAAGUGUUCCUUGCUGAUGUUAGCCUGUGCCCAUAUCUCUACUGACCUAUGGCCACAAUUUCUCAGCUUAGUGUACCAGUGCAAGGCCUGUAGCCUUCAGCUACUAAAAUAGCAUAUCUACACCUGAACACUGAGCAUGUAUUAAUUUUAGUAAUCAUGUGCUCACCUUAACUGGUGAAUUGUCACUUAUUAAUGGGCAUUAAUGGUCAAUGACUUAUGGUUAGAUUUAUAUGAUUACCAUAUAAUAAAAUCUAGCUACUUCUAGAAAACUCUGGAAAAAAAGAGCUAUCUUAGAAAAUCAGAAUACAUGGUCAUUCUGUUUAGAAGAGUUAUGCUAUUGGAAUUCAAAGGACCUGCCUGCUGUCUUAAUAAGACAACAACCUUAUUCUACAAAAGAGUGUUGAUAUGGGACAGGCGGCUCCUCUUACAGUCUAAAAUCCUUCUCAUCACCCUCGCCACCUUCUCUGCAGGAGGUGUGGGAAACAUUCUAACGUUUUGCUGUAACUCUCCUGUGAAAAUAUUUGUACAUUUGAAGGUGGAUAGUUCUUAGGAAACUGUCUCUAUUUCUUCACUUAUAAUUGAUCUGCUUAUAAUUUCUCUCUUAGGGUAGAUUUUAAUUAUUUAUAUU